GUUCUUCAAGAACUUUGGGCAUUUGAAAGAAGGGAUGUACUUCGUCGAAAAAGCACUGGCAGGGUUGGCAGGGGAGGGGCUAAAAGACUAUGAAUGGUCUUUGACAUCAGGUGUGCAAUUUGUGGAUGCACUAUACGAGAGGGGUCCCGAUCCGGAGGAGAGCGUGGAGGUGUACGACUGCGAAGCGCUUUGCCCAUCUAUAAGGCUGGAGCCGGCCUGCAUACUGUUGUGCAGAGUGUUGUUGGAUGGCCUGGAGGAGGAGGCCGAACCGAGCUUGCUUGGGAAUUUGUGCCGUAUGCUGAUGCACUGCAUAUACUU
rnacentral:lncRNA from 1 species